rfam:Dipodomys ordii contig_55349, whole genome shotgun sequence.
GGGAUGGUAGCUCAGUAGUAGAGUGCUUGUCUUGCAUGCAUGAGGCCCUGGGUUCGAUUCCUCAGCACCA